rnacentral:rRNA from 1 species
AGAGUUUGAUCAUGGCUCAGGAUGAACGCUGGCGGCGUGCCUAACACAUGCAAGUCGAGCGAUUUACUUCGGUAAAGAGCGGCGGACGGGUGAGUAACGCGUGGGUAACCUGCCCUGUACACACGGAUAACAUACCGAAAGGUAUGCUAAUACGAGAUAAUAUGUUUUUAUCGCAUGGUAGAAGUAUCAAAGCUUUUGCGGUACAGGAUGGACCCGCGUCUGAUUAGCUAGUUGGUAAGGUAACGGCUUACCAAGGCGACGAUCAGUAGCCGACCUGAGAGGGUGAUCGGCCACAUUGGAACUGAGACACGGUCCAAACUCCUACGGGAGGCAGCAGUGGGGAAUAUUGCACAAUGGGCGAAAGCCUGAUGCAGCAACGCCGCGUGAGCGAUGAAGGCCUUCGGGUCGUAAAGCUCUGUCCUCAAGGAAGAUAAUGACGGUACUUGAGGAGGAAGCCCCGG